rnacentral:lncRNA from 10 species
UCGGCUCACUGCAACCCCCACCUCCCGGGUUGAAGCAAUUCUCCUGCUUCAGCCUCUCAAGUAGCUGAGAUUACAGUACACUUUGUACUUUAAUAUGCAAACUGCCUGCCUGCUCCAGAGAAGCAGCCUUUGUUCCUCAGUUCAUCGCAACACUCAGCCUGUCAGUCAGGUUGUGGGAUCCCUCCUAUCCAGGAACUGUAUGCUGUUGUCCCGGUUCUGACACUUUCCCUCUGAGUCCUUGGACACCUUACCUAACCUCUUGGAAGCUCCUGUCUGUGAAGGGUGUGCACAGAGAGCUUCGGUAGCCUGCGAAGCAGCCAUUUUCACUUCCACGGAGCAGAUGCUGGCCUGGGUGCUGGAAUAUGGAAAUGAGGAAGAUCCUGCCUGAGGAUUUCAUGACAGUGCUGCGAUUACCGACGUGAGCCACUGUGCCCAGCCUCACUUUAAAAAAAAAAAAAGGUUAUGAAGCAUCUCAACACAAGACCUCCUUUGCUCAUCACAACCACCCAGUGAAGCAGGCAAGACAACAGAAACUCCCCACCUGUGAUAGAUGUGAGGCCUGAAGUCUCCCACAUACCCACGGCAGAUGCAACGCACAGCGGUGACCAAUGGACAUGGUCCAAGCAGACCCUUUCCUGAGACUUUCUAAAUGGAGCUGUGUGAGAAGAGUUCCUUUCUGUUUUGCCUCUGGAGCUGAAGGUUGAGAACUCAGAGCUGCCCGUGUUCUACCCUGUGAAAAUAAAGGCAAUCAAUUCACAGAGACAAGCAGAAACAAGGCGUCCAGAGCAAGUCCUUCACAUCACCCUGGACACCCUGGCCCUGAUUUCCACUCCCUGCCAGGCUUGUUUGUCCAAUUCUUCUUUUUGUUCCAAGCACCAUCCCAGCAGGCUUAGUUACCUGUAAGCAUUUGGUUAAUCUCUCUUCUCAGCUAGACCGUAGGCUCCCCGAGUGCAGAAACUAUGUUUAUUUUGGUCUCUGCUGGAUCUCCAGCACCUAAAUAAAUGUUUAUGGUUGACUGCAAGGCAGAUCUGUGUGGGGAAUGAAGAAGAGUAUUAAGACCUCCCAGAUGGGCUGCUGGAGGCCUGUCCAAGGUGGAACUUUGCAUGGUGAGAAAUGCAAUUCAGUAGGAAAACAAAGAACUCCUUCAUCCUCCUCUAGAUUCUGCAGGCAAGUGAUCAGCUCAAGGUGAAGGAUCUAAAACCUGAAAAGAGGCCAAAUGAUUCCUCAAAACCACGCAAGUACGAAGUAGCAGAGCGGAUCUCAAAUCCAGGUUGCCCUGCUGAUGUCAUGCCUGACCAUAUGACUUGCUCCAGCCAAUGAAAUGUAAGCAGAAGUGACAUAUGCAGCAUGACCAGUGGAAGCUUCGAAGAGCUAUUGCCAAUUUCCACCCUCUCUCUGGAAACUGUCAUUAGGGUUAGGGAAACUGUCAUGAGAUCUGCAUAUUUUAGAUAGAGGCUGCUUGCCUUAUUUGGGCACCUAAUGAAAAAGACAUGGAGGCCAGGUGCGGUGGCUCAUGUCUGUAAUCCCAGCACUUUGGGAGGCCAAGGCGAGUGGAUCACCUGAGGUCAGGAGUUCGAGACCAGCCUGACCAACAUGGCAAAACCCCGUCUGUACUAAAAGUGCAAACACAAAGGGAACUGCGUGGCUUGUUUCUACCUGAACAUUGUCAAGUGAUUUCAUCCUUUGAAACACAGUUGUGAAGUGUGUCCAGCAGUCUGAGAACAAGAAGAAGAAGAAAAUCUAAUCCUUCAGGGUGUCUGUGUGCCAGCCCUGCUCUCAGCACUUCCCAUGUGGAACUCCUUUACUUCUCCUAACAACUCCAUGACAUGGGUUAGACUGUGAUUGUUCCCAUAUUGUUGGUAGGGAAACUGAGGCAUGCAGGUGUUACAGAGCUCUCUCAAGUGGCAAGCUUUCUGGGUGGUUACAGAGUGGCAGAGCUGGGGUAUCCCAUGAUGUCACCACACUGCUAUAUGGAAAAGAACAUUAAUCGAGCACCUACGUGCUUGAUUCUCUUAAUUCUGUGACUGAACUCUCAAAACACCCUGGGUUGGUUUCCUUUUUACAACUGCCCAAGUCAUGAGUUCAUAGGGCCUGGAUGGCUGUACCGGAUUGCUCUCCAGCUGGUCUCUCUGCAUCCAGAAAUUUCUACAACCUACUGGGGUAAAAUCUUUCUCAACCCUGCUUUUCAUCAUCACAUCUUAAAUAUCUCGAGUUGGUUCCCUAUUGCCAAAAAAAAUCCAUUGUCCAUGUAGGGUUCUUCUGCCGAAACGAGGAAAGAGUGAGUUAAAUGUUGGUAGGUGAUAUAGAGAUAGUAAUUAGGCAAUAUAAUUCGAUGUUGUUGAAAGAGCUGAGCUAUGAAAUGCAUUGUGAUAAAGGGGCUGCCUGUGUAAGUAAAUGGGUAUAAUGAGGUGUAAAACUCCCUUUCUCUCUCUCUUUCUGCUUCAUAAGCCUUUCUGCUUCUCAAGUCCAGACCUGCUGUUUUUGGGGUUUCCUUCCAAUUUUUUUGCUGCUUCCCUGGGGCCUUGGCUCUUGGGCCUGCUGCCUCUUCCCACUCUACACCUUUGGAUUCCUUAUCUUUGGCUCCACCUUAUUGCUCCAUUCUCCAAAGACAAAUCCACAAGGCAUAGGAUUUUACAGAAUAUGGGGUUACAGAAACAGCAUAGGGAAGUGUAAAAGCCUAGAAGCUUCUUACAGACGCAGCCCCUUGUCUGUAGCUCCUGACUCCCACUUAAAUGUCUGUUGGAAGCACCCUGGGGUAGCAGAACCCAGCUCAGAAGAUGGGGCUUAUCCACCAUGCCUUUUCCUAACCUGACACCCACCCAGAUAAUCUUUUCAAUAUGCAAACUAGAGCGUAUCACCCCCUGCUCAGAGCCUUUCUGUGACCUCCCAUUUUGCUUCCCAGGACUCCUUGCUCCUUAGCCAGGUCUCCAGGUCCUCCGUGAUCAGGUCUCUGCUCUUCUGCAGCCUCAUCUCUGCCAUUCUUCACCUUUUGUGCUCCAACCCAAUCUGGUUUUCUUCUCAUGCUUUGAACACCCCAAGUCUGUCUGCUUCAGGAGCUUCGUACUGGCUAAUCAUUCACCACAGCAUACUCCCAUCUAUACGGCUGGCUCUUAUAUUAUGGGUCUCAGCUAAAAUGUCAUCCCUUCAAAGAGACCUUCUUGGACCACCCCCGCCAUUCUCUAUCCUAUUUCUCUCUUUUAUUUUCUUUGAAGCACUUACCCACUUUCAGAAACUAUCUGGCUUGCUCAUGUGUUUGUCUCUAGAUUGUCUACUUCCCCUCCUAGACUGUACUCUCCACAAGAGAGCAAAGCUGUGUCUGUUGCAUUCACUGUUGUCUUCCCAGAAGCAAGCAGCAUGCUGGAGACCCUCAAAUACAUGUGAAAUGAAGGGACACCUUGUGUUAUUUCACCUGUUUCCACCUGGUUCCCAAGUGGCAAGCUUGCAUUGAGGUUACAAAGUGGCAAAGCUGGGAUAUCACAUGAUGUCACCAUGAUGCUAUAUGAAAUGUAACAUUAAUUGAGUACCUAUGUGACCAGUUCUUUAAUUCUGUAAGUGAACUCUCAAAAAACCCUAGGUAAGUAUUAUCAACUCGAACUUUAACGGAUGAGGAAACUGGAAUUUUUUAAAAAAUGACUUAACCAAACAUCACAGAGCUGUAAACCAGGAUUUGAAUGGGUGAGCUGCACUCAGCCUUCAUCUCAAGUCAGUUUGCCUCUUUCUCCAAGAAGCCACAGUUGAUCCUGACCACAUCACAUAUGAGUUGCCUGGAUUGCAGUCAUUCAUUCACUAAGCAUCUUUUAGGAGGUCACAUGCCAGGCACCGUGUUAGGUAAUGAUUUCUCCAAGUCACAGGAGCCGUGGUUCUGACUUUAGAAAGUUUCUCAUCUGAUGGGAGGGCAGGCAAGUAAAUCAGUAAGGGUGGUCCCUGUCGGGACACUGGUUGAGAAAUACCCAGGAACACUCUGAUUGAGAAAUACCCAAAGUGCAAAGUGACAGGGACUAGAGGCAUCUCCACUGGACCAGAGAGCUCUGGAUUCGUCUUGAGCUAAGUCUCUGGAGGUAGGUGUCAGCUACAAGGAGAAAAGCUGUAUAUUUUGAGAUAUGGGAUGCAGGGCCUUUUAGUUCCAUAAAUAAGAGAACUAUGGUGUGAAUACCACAUGCCCUGGGCUGAACUAAGUGGGCUCUAGGGGAAGGUAUACUGGGCAGGGAGUUUGGAGAACUGGUUUCUGUCUAAUCCUUCUCUAACUCUGUGACCUUGAAUGCAUCAUUUCCCCUCUGAGUCUCAGAUUCUCUUUCUGGCUGGCAUUUAAUGAAACCUAAAUAUUCUAGACCUUCUACUUGUUCCAUAAGUGCUCAGUCCUACACUCACUCUCCUCUGGCACCAAUAUACUGAUUACUCAUUUUAUGCCCAGCAGAGCACUGCGUGUUUUGAAAUAUACAAAUAGUGGGAAACGAAAUCUUUGUUCUGGAUGCAGUUAUAAUUUGGAAAGCGAGGAAAUAAAUUAUAACAAGGGGAAAAAACAGACACAGAGGGAUUGAAAUGCAUAACAAUAGAGAUGAAACACGAAGAGUGAUAAAUGAAGAUUGAGUGUGCACACCUUCUGGAGGAGCCCUGAUUGAGUAUUUUAACACAGAAGUGGGUGAGAGCAAAGUUGUGUCAGAGUAAGACAAUGACACCAAGCCAGAUGGUUAUCAAAAUCCACAGGAACAAAUGAAGAGAACCAGAAAUUGCAAAUAAGAAGGACAGAGUACCAGAGAGGAGAGAGAGGUACAGAGAAUUAUGGAGGUGGCUUCCGUUGAGUAUGCAGCUAAGUAAUGAUUAAUGCAUACAUAUAAGAAACUACUGGAUGACAGAGAAAGAACCACAAGCAAUUUAAAGAAUACUACUAAAGUCAUGCCGUGUGACUUCUGAAGCUAGCUCCUAAGAAGUCCUUGCAGCUUCUGCCUGCGACUCUUAGAACACUUGCUUUGAAGGAUGCCAGAUGCUGUCUUAAAAGUCUGAGCACUCUGAAACCAUCAUGCUGUGAGGAAGCCCAAGCUAACCACAUGGGCAAAAAAGAUGCCCUCUGACUGCCACCAUUUGAGACACUCUAAUUAAGAACUGCCUCAUUGAGCCCAUGAGGCCCUGUGAAUGAUAAUAAUAAAUUGUUUUUAACCACUAUGUUUUUGGAUUUGUUAUAAGUUUAUAGAUAACAAGAAAAAGUUAUAUUAGCAUGGUAAUAAAAUUAUGGAUAUGUGUAAGUUUGGUGUUUUGUUUCUUUUUUUUUUUUACACUAAGCCUAUAUUACUGUUGUAAUUUAGGAAAUCACUUGUUUUCCUCCAGCACUUCAAUGUAAGAGUGGCACUACUUAGAAUGUACUUCUUAAGAUAUGGCU